CCUACGGGCGGCAGCAGUAAGGAAUAUUGGUCAAUGGAGGGAACUCUGAACCAGCCAUGCCGCGUGCAGGAUGACUGCCCUAUGGGUUGUAAACUGCUUUUGUCCAGGAAUAAACCUGUUUACGUGUAAACAGCUGAAUGUACUGGAAGAAUAAGGAUCGGCUAACUCCGUGCCAGCAGCCGCGGUAAUACGGAGGAUCCGAGCGUUAUCCGGAUUUAUUGGGUUUAAAGGGUGCGUAGGCGGCUUUAUAAGUCAGAGGUGAAAGACGGCAGCUUAACUGUCGCAGUGCCUUUGAUACUGUAGAGCUUGAAUGUGAUUGAAGAUGGCGGAAUGAGACAAGUAGCGGUGAAAUGCAUAGAUAUGUCUCAGAACCCCGAUUGCGAAGGCAGCUGUCUAAGUCAUAAUUGACGCUGAUGCACGAAAGCGUGGGGAUCAAACAGGAUUAGAUACCCCAGUAGUC
rnacentral:rRNA from 1 species